AACAAAGAAGUAAAMAAUUACAUUUAGUUUCGGCCUAAAAAUAGGAAAACAAAUCCCUUGUUU
rnacentral:tRNA from 1 species